UACGUAGGGUGCAAGCGUUGUCCGGAUUUAUUGGGCGUAAAGAGCUCGUAGGCGGUUCAGUAAGUCGGGUGUGAAAACUCUAGCUCAACCUGGAGACGCCACUCGAUACUGCUGUGACUUGAAUCUGGUAGGGGAGCACGGAAUUCCUGGUGGUAGCGGUGAAAUGCAUAGAUAUCAGGAGGAACACCGGUGGCGAAGGCGGUGCUCUGGGCCAGUAUUGACGCUGAGGAGCGAAAGCGUGGGUAGCGAACAGG
rnacentral:rRNA from 1 species